GCGGAUUUAGCUCAGUUGGGAGAGCGCUAGACUGAAGAUCUAGAGAGAGGAGAGAGCUAGUUCGAUCCUGGCUAUUCAGCA
rnacentral:tRNA from 1 species